AGAAUCACGCUCACUGCCGCUCUCCGGCCCCUGCCCUCCUGGGCGGUCUGCACCUGCUCCAAAAGUACUUGCUAGUUCCCUUGUAGAGCAGCAGGUUAAGGAUCCAGCGUUGUUACUGCAGUGGCUCGCGGUGCUGCCAUGGCACGUGUUUGAUUCCUGGCCCAGGAACUUCCGCAAGGUGUGGGCGUGGCCAAAAAAAAUAAGAGAGAGCGAAAAAGGCACUUCCCACCAGGCAGGUGCCGACGUGUGCCCAUUACCAAGCCUGCCCUCUCGCAUCCAGAUCAGCCGCCUGUCCAUCGCCGGUAGCCAGGUAGGAUUGGUGGAAGACAAGUCCACUGUCUCCCUUCAGAAUGCAUCUGUGAUCUUCAAGGGGACCCUUGGAGCCCGGGGGCCAAUUCCCAGUAUCACUUGUGGGGACCCACUGAUGGCUUCCUGCUCGCUGACGUCCCUGCAUCUGUUCCCCACCGCAGCCUCCAGGAGCAAAGCUGAUCCUUCCCUCGUCUGCUUCACACUCAUCAAGAGCUCUCGCACGUGGUGGAUGGUUCUGCAUUGAGUGGAGCUUUGUUUUUCUGCGGACAGAUGCUGCUCCCUGGAUCACCUGCAUUUCCUCCUUUUGAACGUAUUCCUGCCAGGGACCCCAAAGGCUACAUCAUUCGUUCAGGACUGUCUUUUUAGGUCAGUUUCUCAGCUCAGGAAACCCUGCACCGUGCGGGCAGUGUAAAUGCACACAUCCUUCAGAGCUGCACGUGCACAGGCUCAGUUUAUACCCUCCCAGACCCAGCCCGACCGACGAUUCUUGUGGCUUCCUCUGGCAGCCAAGUCAUUUGGUCUCCUUUUCACUGCCCGAGAGGAGGUGUUUCCAUUCCCCUCUUCAUCUCACUUGUCUCUCUCUCACACGUGUUAAAACCCCCUGCCAGUGUGGUCUGAAGCCACAUCCUGGAGCUCAUCUUUCCAGGCUACUCUCACUUCCCCCUGCAUCUCUGACAUCUGGGAUUGUCCCUGUCUUUUGUUUGAAAUCGACUGUGUAGUAAGUCAGGGCUUUUGUCGCAAGGUACUAGUGAGACAAUGUUUUGAUGCGGUGAGGUCUCCCCGAGCCCAGCCUCACAGUCUGCAAAUGGGAAGCCCUGCCCUCCUGCCCGGGCUGCCUGCCCCAGCCCCAGCUGCCUGCCCGGGUUCCCCACAGGGCCUUUGCCCAUGCUGUUCCUCCUGCCCAGAAUGUUCCCCCUCUCCCUUGCCCCCUUUGAUUAUUCCUCAUCGUCAGGGCAGGCCCCCCCCAACCCCCGCAAGAGGUCAGAUUCACUUUCCAGGGCUCGCCAGCCAGCCUGUGCACCCCUCCUGAAGACACUCGUCAGGUGCCAGUUUAUGGUUAGUUCUGGUGUUACCCAGUAAACACGGAGCUUCCCGAAGGUAGGGAGCGGGUGUCUUGGGCCCCGCGGUUCCUGCCUCCUCCCUCGGGGCUGGAGCGUGGUUGGCAUUUCAUGAACACUGCUACACAAAAGCAACAGCAGCACCUUUUGGAGGUCAACCUUGCAGGCGGUCCUUCUCCAGGCUCUUGCCGUGGAUCCUCUCACUUAAUCCUCUCAUCAGCCCUUGCUCAAAGGCCCGCAAGCCUUCCAGUCGCCCAGCCUCCAGACCAAAGGAAGAGCCUGAGGCAGACACAGAGGCAGCAGUGGCUUCCUGGACAGGGGCUCUUAAGCAAAAGGCCCUGGAGUGACACCCUACUGGUUAUGGCAGGCAGGAUAGAGCAGUGGGGGAGAAGGCUACCAUUUACCCCAGGAAGUGAAAUCAGGUGGGCCCAUCAGUUACCAGGGAAACCAGCAGCUAGGGUGGCCCUUCGGCCCUCAGGUUAAUCACCAGCAAGGGGCAGGGGCAGACGUUUCUCUGUAAUAAACUACAGGUGGAAGUGUUCUGGCCUAAGGAUUAAAACAUUCACGAGCUGGGGCCUGGGGCAAGCACAUCCACGUGAGCAGGCUGUGGGUGAGGCGGGGAACUGGUCCAGCUGGGGGUGUACAAAGA